rnacentral:rRNA from 1 species
UACGUAGGGUGCAAGCGUUGUCCGGAAUUAUUGGGCGUAAAGAGCUCGUAGGCGGUCUGUCGCGUCUGCUGUGAAAACUCAGGGCUUAACCCUGAGCUUGCAGUGGGUACGGGCAGACUAGAGUGCGGUAGGGGAGACUGGAAUUCCUGGUGUAGCGGUGAAAUGCGCAGAUAUCAGGAGGAACACCGAUGGCGAAGGCAGUUCUCUGGGCCGUAACUGACGCUGAGGAGCGAAAGCGUGGGGAGCGAACAGG